rnacentral:lncRNA from 1 species
UUUUUUUUUUUUUUAAGACAGGGUCUCUCUCUGUCGCCCAGGCUGGAGUGUGGUGGUGACUUCUCAGCUCAUUGCAGCCCUGACCUCCCGGGCUCAAGCCAUCCUCCUGGCUCAGCCUCCUGAGUAGCUGGGACCACAGGCAGGCACCAACACACCCAGCUAAUUUUUAUAUUUUUUGUAGAGACAGGGUCUCACUAUAUUGCCCAGGCUGGUCUCAAACUCCUGGAUUCAAGUGAUCCUCCCAACUCGGCCUCUCAAAGUGCUGGGAUUACAGGAGUGAGCCACUGUGCCCAGUCUGGCUCACUUUCUAUCUUCUCAGUCUGAAGGCCAGUGCCCACCACAGGGCCUCUGCACCUGCUGCUGCCUCCCCCUGGAUCACUCCUUUCCCCCUUAUCUUUGCUUACCUGACUCCUCAUGACGGAGGCCUCAAUGCAAUUAUUCCCCCCUUGGAGAGCCUCCCCAGAUCACCCCCUCCAAUGCUGCACCCACAUGCCCUUCCCCCAAUUGCUAACAUGUCACCCUUAUUAGUUUUCUUUUAGCAUUUAACAAGAUCUAGUGUUACGAUACCUGUGUGCUGACUUUCUUCACUACAAUUCAAGCUCCAUGCGGGCAAAAGACUACGCAUUUCAACCCCAGCAUUCUGGCUAGCACUCAAACUUUACAGGCUGAUCAAUCCCAUGAGGUUGGUGUUACUACCCCCAAGUUGCAGAUGGAGCAAGGGGAGAUGUCUUAUCCAAAGUCACUCAGCUAACAUGUGGCAGAGCCUGGACUCACACAUCCACAUCUGUCUGGCUCCACAGACAGGCCACAGCAUCACCUCCCACCCCACCCACCCAUCAGUUUAAGGACUGAUGAACCCGGGAGCAGGCAGAAAGGCUUAUUAGAAGACCCAGGCCAGAUGCAAGUCUCAAAAGCCACACAGAGGCCUGCUCUGCCAUAAAAAAGAUCCCUUCUGGGACUAAGGAGGAAUUUCUGCCAGAGAGCAAGGCCACAGGCCAUCAGGCUGACCCUGUUUGCAAUCUCAGAGGUGAUCACAGGUCACUACGCCCUGGGCUGUCCAGAAAGUGAGCUCUUUGGGGCAGUGACCAAGUCCAACUCUUCUCUGGGUUCCUGGGGCCACCCAGCAGAGGGCCUGCACCCAAGAAAGCACAUGCUGUUAAGUAAGGGCAUCCCACCAUGUAAAUCCACCCUACCAUCCAAUAAGCGCCCUGUGCUAUGUGCAUUCAACAGCUGUAACCCUGCUGCCUAGCUGUCUGUGUCCACAAAGCACAGUCCAGCCCUGAGCCAGGCAGCCUGGAUGCCUCGAAGACAGCCACUGAGUGGCUAGUGUCUUAUCCUGCCCCACCCAACCUUCCCAACAGACCUGUGAGCUGGGGAGAGGGGUCCCCUUAUACCAUAGGGAGAUGCUCGGAGAGUGAAGGAGCCACAAAUGGGACCCAGAUGUGACUCCAGAGUCCACACCAGUUCCACCCAGUACCCCGGCGCCAGCACCCACGAAUGCUGGGCUAAUAUCAUGGCUAAGAGGCUGUGGAGCUUGGCUGCCUGGCUUCAACUUCCAGCUCUGCCACUCAUCAGCAGUGUGACUGUGGACGUGUGACUUGCCCUCUCUGUGCUUCAUUUCUCCACCUGUGACACAGGGCUAACAAUAGCUCCCUCCUCUCAAGAGGCUGCUGGGAGCAGGAGUUAGAAGCAGCCUGCAAAGAGUAGGUGCUCGACAAAGACCGGUUUGUCUACUCCAGAGUUUCCCAACCUCGACAUUAAUGGCACUUGUGUUGUGGGAGGCUAUCCUGUGCAACACACAAUGUCUACCAGCAUCUCUGCCUCUUUUCAUGAGAUGCCAGCAGCACUUCCAAGGUUGGAAAAACAAAUAAAAGUCUCCAGACAUUGCCACAUGUCCCCUGGGGGACAAAACCACUCCUGGUUGAGAGCCGCUAGCCCACUGGACAAAUAUUUACCUACAGCACAAAGGCUCUGGGGCAAAUUCCAGCUCUGCCUCCUACCAGUUCUGUGUCCUUGGACAAGGUACAAGGCACCUUUUGUAAUACACUGUAUCUCCAUUUCGCUGACUGUAAAGUGAUGGAAAACAAAAAUGCUGAGAACCACACCUGGCUAGUAAGUGUCCAGUCAGACUUAGGGUUACUUUGUCGAAGGUUUCCUGCAAGGUGCCCAGGGGACACUGCUGUGAACACGCACACAGAUUAAAAUACUAAGUAUACAUUGCAAUAGGCAUUAAGAUGGAUAUAGAGGAGGGUGACUCAUCCUGACUGGGGUAGAGGUGGCGGGGGUCAACUUCAGAUGACAAUAAACAGUUUCUAAGCACUUUACACAUAUUACCGAAGGUAAUAAUGCCUUGCAACAAGCUAAAAAGGCAGAUGCUCCUCAACGAGUUAUCUUCAGGAAUCUCACAACUCUGUAAAAGUUGCACUUGUAGAAGCAGCGCACAAAAAGAGCCACCUGCACUGUAUCUACGUUACGACAAUAACCAUCGUCCCCGGAAGCCCCUUCCCGCAAACCUUUCCGAAGGGGUCCGGUCC